GUGUGGGCCCUGCUUUGCGGCCCCCAAACUGUCCCCCUCCUGUAUCACAGGUGGAGGAUCCGGAGAAGUCAUCGGGGGUCCCCAGGCAGGCACAGACGCCCAGGCCUGUGGCAUCAGGGGCGGCCACAGAAGAGGCCAUGGGUUACAGACGGGGAGCCACCGGCAGUCCGAGUGAGUGUGGAAAUAACCCCACCGACACGCUGGACGUGCAGCAAGGGCCAGAAAUAAGGCCGGUUCUGAGAAGCCACUGAGAUCUCUGGGCUCGUUUGUUACCACAGCAUAACGUCUCAUCCUGACCAACAAGACAGACGUGCAGCAGUAUCUGGGGAGAAUGAAAAUGUACCGGCUCAAGCCCUGCGGUCUAGUGACUCCACGCCUGGAAGUAAACCCUGGAGCAGGGCUGGCAAACUAGCAUCUCCUUCCUGGUGGGGUUAUCAGCAUUUUUUUUUUUAACGAAAUAGAACAGAGCAGACCUGAGUACAAAGCCUGGAUUGAGAAUAUUAUUUCACAGAGCCUUGAUUUCAUUUAUAAACACACACACACAUACACACGCACACAUGUGUGCUGGGUCAUAAUGUGAAAUGUAUCUCUUUCUGGAAGUCACGAUCGACAGAACAAUUGGCCUGGACCUUUGCAAACAUCAUUGCCACAGAAGACAGAGAAAGGCUGAGGACCUUUCGGAUUAAAGGAGACUAAAGAUGUGACCAGUGAUGUAACGUGUGAUCCUGGGCUGGGUCCUGGGUCAGAAAAAACAAAUGCUGUACAGGACAUUACCGCGACAAACAGUGAAAUGAUUAUGGCUUGUAGAUCUGAUGAUAGUAUUGUAUCAAUGUUAAAUGUCCCAAUUUUGGCAAUUGUAAAUGUGGUUCUAGAAGAGAUGUUUUAGGUUUAGCUGUUAAACACCCUGAACUGUUACCAUUUAGGCAAAGAAGCAUGAUGAUGUCUGCAAGUAAUUCCCAAACGGUUUAAGGACAAAACAUACAUUUUCUAUUUAUAUAUAUUUAGGGGAAAUUUCAUAUAUAUACAUAUACUUUAGAAGGUGGAGGAGGGGGACUUCCCUGGUGGUCCAGUGGUUAAGACUCCGCGCUCCCAGUGCAGGGGGCCCGGCUUCGAUCCCUGUUCAGGGAACUAGAUCCCGCAUGCCGCGACUAAAGCUCCCACACUCGGCAGCGAAGAUCCUGCGUGCCGCAACUAAGACCCAGCGCAGCCAAAUAAAUAAAUACAUAUUUUUAAAAA